GAUGAGAGGCGCUGGAUAACUCGAUUAGUGAAUGGAGAUGACGUUCACGGCCCGACUACAGCCCUCAAGACUGCGCCUUAGCAACCGAUACACUGCCUCCAAUGGCUGUCACGAUCUUGUGGAGCGCAACACCCGGCCACUAGGGCACUCGUCCUGCAAGCAAUCGAAGAACCAGCAAGAACAAGUAGAACAAGUACUAAAUUACCAGAUGUAAAUGAAGGUUUCAAACUCAAUCUCUAAUGAAGUGGGGUUUCGAAAACAAGAAGACGGGCGGCUGGAUCAGCACGCGCGUUUACAAGCAAGUAGCGAAGGCUAAACUUUAUCUAAUCAAAACCCAGUUGUUCAUGGCGGCUCUAGAUGUAAAUAAAUAGAGGGGAGGACGACCAAAGGGGUGCUAGAGUCGUCCUCCAACCCUAGGACGCGUCCCUAAUGGACUCAACUUGAUACAUGGGCUAUUGGUCCAAAAUAGGGUGACGCAGCACCAAAACAGAAAAAGGUGUCGGCACGAAAACAAGGACUGCGCCCGACUCAUAAGCCGCAUAGAUACGUGGUUGGACCCAUUGGAAAGUAGACUUCAUGAGCUUUCCAACAAGUAUAGGAACGUCCCAGUUGGAGUCCAUAUGACGCCGUGGUGAUCCAUACAAGUUAGAGUUAUUUUCCAGUCCGAAUCCAACUCCCAAAACGUGUUGGGUUUGGACUCUUUGUUUCCUUGCUUUAGAAACGACGUGGUAACUUGACAGAGGAUGUUGUGGAGGCUUGAACCUGAUCUCCAAUCACCUUUGUUAAGUUAUCACUCUUCCCAUAUGCAAUCAGCCCUUGAAGUUGGUGUUGCCUCAAAUUCUGAAUGCAGUUGAACCUUCCCUUGCUGAUCUUGUCCAUUAUUCCUGAGCAACACCAAAGUGCACGUGUCUCCAUUGUCUAAAUAUAAUUGACAAGAGUUUAAAGCUGAACUUACUUGAAGGUUGAGUUGACGGGCACGAGCACGAGUAAGAGGACCAGCUAUAGGUUGUGUCGGAGAGGAUGUAGGAUAUGUAUCGCUGGUGGAUGUAGGAUAUGUAUCGCUGGUGGAUGUAGGAUAUGUAUCGCUAGUGUUGAUGUCCUCAUCAUCCUCCCUUUCUUGCAUUUGAGUCGUCCUCGACUCAAGCUCAUCUUCCUCACCCAAAUAAGGCUUCAAAUCUGCAAUGUUAAAUGUGGGACUAACCCCAAAAUCUGCAGGAAGAUCAAGCUUAUAUGCAUUCUCAUUAAUUCGUUGCAGCACUUUAAAAGGACCAUCAGCUCUAGGCAUCAAUUUGGAUUUUCUCAGUUCUGGAAAUCUAUCUUUUUGCAAAUGCAACCAAACCAAAUCCCCAGGUUCCAGAAUCAAUUGCUUUCUACCUUUAUCUCCCAAUUUCAUACGAAUCUGGUGGUACCCACUACGUAAAUCAACUUUUGAAAACACAACAGCACCACUCAGUUCAUCUAGCAUAUCAUCUAAUCGUGGAAUAGGGUGUCGAUAUCGAAUGGUGAUAUUAUUAAUAGCUCUACAAUCAACACACAUAUGCCAUGUUCCAUCUUUCUUAGGCACUAAAAUUACUGGAACAACACAAGGACUAAGAGAUUCUCGGACAUAACCUUUGUCUAGUAGUUCUUGCACUUGUCGCUGAAUUUCCUUUGUUUCCUCCGGGUUUGUCCUGUAUGGUGCACGAUUUGGCAAAACUGAUCCAGGAAUAAGAUCAAUUUGGUGCUCAAUCCCGCGUAGUGGAGGCAGCCCCGCUGGUACAUCACUUGGAAACACAUCAGAAUACUCCUGCAAAACGUUAGCAACAGCAGGGGGCAAAGAACAUUGCAUAUCCUCAACUGAAAUCAAAGCAUCCUUGCAUAUCAAAGCAUAAGCAACAGAAGUGGAUGCAUUGAACUCAUUAAUAUCUGAUUUGGUAGCUAUCAUACAACGUCCUUUCAGUUUUAUCUCAUCUUUGUUACCAAUUACAGAUUUAUCAUUUUUAUUGCUCUUGCUCUUUGCUUUAGUAGCCCUAGCAACAUCAGUUUGCAUAAUAGUUUCAGGGGACAUAGGAUGCAACACAAUUUUGCGAUCAUGGUAUAGAAAAGAAUACUGAUUUGAUCUACCAUGAUGCAUAGAAUCUCUAUCAAAUUGCCAAGGUCUACCUAGCAGUAUGUUACAAGCUUGCAUAGGCACAACAUCACAUUCAACAAUAUCUUUGUAGGAUCCGAUGGAAAAAUUAAUUCUCACAAGUCUAGUUACCUUUGCCUUACCACUAUUGUUCAGCCAUUGGAUGUAGUAGGGAUGCGGGUGUGGUUUGGUGUUGAGGGCAAGCUUCUGCACCAUAUCGCUGCUUGCCAAGUUGUUGCAGCUACCUCCAUCAAUGAUCAUGUGACAAGAACGCUCUUUGAUGACACACUUUGUUUGGAAUAAAAUGUGUCGCUGAUUUUGUUCCGCCAUCUCCAUUUGUGCACUAAGCACUCGCUGCACGAUCAAGCUCUCAUAGUGGUCCGCUUCACCUGCAUUAAUAUGUUCUUCUAUUUGAUCUUCAUUACCUGCAUGGUCAGUCGUAAGCAGUGCAAGUGUAUCCUCAUCAAAAUCACUAGCAGAUGAGUACUCACCAUCAUCCCUGACAAUCAUAACUCGCUUGUUUGGACAGUCACGCAUCAUGUGCCCAUAUCCCUUGCACCGGUGACAUUGUAUGUUGCUUGUUCUACCCGUCGAUGCCACAGAUGAAGUACUCGCAGCAGGCUUUUGCAUCGUCUUCGCAACUGAAUUGGUGGGGGCAGCUCGAGUCUUGUCACUAGAUGAUGGAGUAGAAAUACGUGUAGAUGGAGUUGAAGCCACGCGUUGCUGCCAUGAAUUAGCCUUCCCUGCAGAAAUAUUACUCCUUGCGCUAGCACGUUGUCCCUGCACUUCCCUUUCAGCUUUACAAGCAAGAUGAAACAAACGGGUUACCUUAGUAUAAUCUUUAUAAGCAAGAAUGUCCUGGAUUUCACGAUUUAACCCGCCCAAAAAUCUAGCCAUAGCAGGUUCUUCUUCCUCCUCUAAAUUACAUCGCAGCAUACCCAUUUGUAAUUCCUGAUAAUAUUCUUCUACACUUUUAGCACCUUGUCUCAAUUGCUGCAACUUAUUAAUCAUGUCACGUGCAUAGUAAGAAGGAACAAAUCUAGCUCUCAUGGCCCUUUUCAGCGCAUCCCAAGUUCUAGGUAAGUUAUUAGAAUUUUUCUUUCCAUAUUCUAUCCACCAAACAGAAGCAAAAUCUGUAAACUCACUAGUAGCAGCCCUAACACGUGUAUCCUCAGGGAAUUCAUGACAUGUAAACUUUUGGUCAACAGCAAUCUCCCAAGUAAUGUAUGCAUCAGGGUCAUAUUUACCAUCAAAAGGAGGUAUUUUAAAUUUAAUCUUACUGAAAGCAUCAUUAUUAUUGUGUACCUCGCGUCGGUGGUGGCCACCCAUACCUCUACGGGUGUGACGUAGGUGACGUCGAUGAUGAGUGUCUUGAUCAUCUCGUUCCGUAUCAACAGUGUAAUCAUCAUCAUAAUUGCCAUCCACUCGGUCUUCCUCCUUGUUUUCUUCCUUAUGCUUCUCUUUGUCCAUUGUGUGGAAAGCAUCAAAUCGCCUUAGGAGAGCAGCAAGGCUUUUGUCCACACUAGCAACGGAUUCCUCCAAACUUGUGAGCUUGUUGUUUGUGGCAAUCUGCGUAGCCUCCAACUGUCCCAGCUUUUCAUUUGUCACCUGCAAGUCGUUAUCAAGUCCCUCUGUGUGCAGCUUCACUUUCCUUUCAAAAUGUUGUAUGAUGCCCUUAGUGCGAGGUGUAAGUGGUGUUUCGUUACCAUCAUCUGCCCCUGGCAUAGUUCAAAGACAAAGACAACAAAAAGGCAAGUGAAGAAAUAAAAGCCCUACAACUACUAGGAUGUAGCUACAGCAAGUCGCUCACACUCAACCUGUAACACAAGUUCUUACCAAUUCUUACCUUGCUUGACAGGAGGGGUCGUCUGCCAACAAGUGUACAACAAUGGACGAAGUGUAUCGGUGCUGCAGCACAAGACCUGUCAAGCUGUAGAGUAUGUGGAGCUAUAGGUGGGCUGAAACAAGGAACGAACUAGCACCACGUUAGUUAUAAAAGCGAGCUGAAUAAACGCUCAACGGUGGUACUGUGCUGGUCCUAGCCUAGACCGUGCUAGAGACGCGAGCCUGGACACAAAGGGAAAACACAGCACACCACUAGAAACAAAAUGAGCAGCCCUACUGGAAACAAAAAGAACAACAAUACCCUUCUUUUGAUUUUUUUUCUUUUUUCUUUCUUUCUUUCUUUUUUUUCUUUAUUUUUUUUCUUUCUCUUUUCUUUUUUUGGGAACCUCAAAACCUGAUUAUAUAAACGAAAUAGUACAAAAUAUCACUUCACCACUCUCACCCUCUCACUAGAGUAAGGCUGAACCUCAAAAUUCAAUAUAUCUAGCACAAGUAUGAAGUGCUAUCUUUCCUUUUGGAUCACGUUGAUGGAAACGCAGAAUAGACAAACAAGUGGCUGCACCUAUUAUCAAGAUCUACUCAAAUUCCAACCCACAAUAGAUUGGACGCAGUUGUGACUAGAUGGUGACAAGAACUCAAAACUCUAAAGGACUAAACUAAAACCAGCACUGGACACGACCGAAGCAAACACUCAUUCAACCAGCCCUAACUAAGUAGUACUAGCCACGGCACAAAGGAUUUAUAGGAUUAUGGAAAACAAAUCUGCUAUAUUUUUUGUCUUUUUUUGGACUAUAGGAAAAACAAACACGAAGAAUUGGAAAUCUCUCACCGAUAAACCUUGCUCUGAUUACCAACUGAUGUGAACCCACUAGGGUUUUCGCCUGAUCUUUCGAUGAGAGGCGCUGGAUAACUCGAUUAGUGAAUGGAGAUGACGUUCACGGCCCGACUACAGCCCUCAAGACUGCGCCAUAGCAACCGAUACACCGCCUCCAAUGGCUGUCACGAUCUUGUGGAGCGCAACACCCGGCCACUAGGGCACUCGUCCUGCAAGCAAUCGAAGAACCAGCAAGAACAAGUAGAACAAGUACUAAAUUACCAGAUGUAAAUGAAGGUUUCAAACUCAAUCUCUAAUGAAGUGGGGUUUCGAAAACAAGAAGACGGGCGGCUGGAUCAGCACGCGCGUUUACAAGC
rnacentral:lncRNA from 1 species